UGAUCAUAUUCUUCGAUUAAAGAUUAAGCCAUGCACGUCUAAGAACCUUGAGUUUCUAGAGAGUCUGCGUAUGGCUCAUUAUAUGGUUUAUAACUUCCUGUAGCACAUUUUCCAUCGGCACUUCCGAGGUAAUUCAUGGGCUAACCCUGCAUGAAGAAGCGUUUAGUAAUAGACGCUUGCAUUUGUUAGUCUCAAACCAACAUAUUGUUGAUGAAUCGUGACAAAUUGCGGAUCCUUAUGUUGCAAAAGACGAAGGACGACUACAAAAGGUUUACCACUUAUCAGUUUUCGAUGGAAGUAUAUGGAACUUUCAUGACGUUGACGAGUGACGGAAAAUGAGGGUUUGGUUCCGGAGAAGGAGCCUGAGAGACGGCUACUACAUCUAAGGAAGGCAGCAGGCGCGCAAAUUCUUCAAUAGCCAAAUGGCUGAAAGAGUGACGAUCAAUAACAAUGUGCGACUUUUAAAGUUGUGCAAUUGGAAUGACAGCAAUUUAAAGAGUUCAAGGAGGAUCAAUU
rnacentral:rRNA from 1 species